GACGAACGCUGGCGGCGUGCCUAAUACAUGCAAGUAGAACGCUGAAGGAGGAGCUUGCUUCUCUGGAUGAGUUGCGAACGGGUGAGUAACGCGUAGGUAACCUGCCUGGUAGCGGGGGAUAACUAUUGGAAACGAUAGCUAAUACCGCAUAAUAGUAGAUGUUGCAUGACAUUUGCUUAAAAGGUGCAAUUGCAUCACUACCAGAUGGACCUGCGUUGUAUUAGCUAGUUGGUGGGGUAACGGCUCACCAAGGCGACGAUACAUAGCCGACCUGAGAGGGUGAUCGGCCACACUGGGACUGAGACACGGCCCAGACUCCUACGGGAGGCAGCAGUCGGGAAUCUUCGGCAAUGGACGGAAGUCUGACCGAGCAACGCCGCGUGAGUGAAGAAGGUUUUCGGAUCGUAAAGCUCUGUUGUAAGAGAAGAACGAGUGUGAGAGUGGAAAGUUCACACUGUGACGGUAUCUGACCAGAAAGGGACGGCUAACUACGUG
rnacentral:rRNA from 1 species